AUACGGAGGUUGCAAGCGUUGUUCGGAAUAACUGGGUGUAAAGGGAGCGCAGGCGGUUUGGUAAGUCUGGAGUGAAAGCCCGGGGCUUAACCCCGGAAGGGCUUCGGAUACUGCCCAACUUGAGUACGGGAGAGGAGAGUGGAAUUCCAGGUGUAGCGGUGAAAUGCGUAGAUAUCUGGAGGAACACCAGUGGCGAAAGCGGCUCUCUGGCCCGAUACUGACGCUCAGGCUCGAAAGCGUGGGGAGCAAACGGGAUUAGAUACCCCGGUAGUCCACGCCGUAAACGUUGUGUACUAGGUGUGGGAGGUCAUUGACCCCUUCCGUGCCGCAGCUAACGCAAUAAGUACACCACCUGGGGAGUACGGUGGCAACACUGAA
rnacentral:rRNA from 1 species